rnacentral:rRNA from 1 species
ACGUUGUUAGCAGUAUAGGAGGUCCAGCCUGCCCAGUGACUAUUAGUUCAACGGCCGCGGUAUUCUGACCGUGCAAAGGUAGCGUAAUCACUCGUCCUUUAAAUGGGGUCAAGUAUGAAAGGCUAAACGAGGGCUUAACUGUCUCCCAUUCCAGGUCAGUGAAAUUGAUCUAUCCGUGCAGAAGCGGGUAUAAAGAUUCCAAGACGAGAAGACCCUUUGGAGCUUUAGGUACAAGACUUAGCCUUGUUAAACAAGUCAAUGAAAACACAAACCCUAUGGAAAUUAAGACUAUACCUUCGGUUGGGGCGACCACGGAGAAAAAGGCAUCCUCCAGGUGGACUGGGGAAACCCCUAGAACUAAGAGACUCAUCUCUAAGUCACAGAAUCUCUGACCAAAAAUGAUCCGGCCACUAGGCCGAUCAACGAACCAAGUUACCCUAGGGAUAACAGCGCAAUCCUCUCCCAGAGCCCAUAUCGACGAGGGGGUUUACGACCUCGAUGUUGGAUCAGGACAUCCUAAUGGUGCAGCCGCUAUUAAGGGUUCGUUUGUUCAACGAUAAAAGUCCUACGUGAUCUGAUUCGAA